GAACAUUGGUUUUACCAAGAUGUCAUAGGGAAGAUGCAGAGAAGGCUUGUAUCAUAUCCUCUAUACCAACUGUCUACUCAUGUCCUGAGCAGUUCUGCACAUAUGUCUUCACUGACUUAGGAGGCCAUGCAGAUCAGAGCACGGGUAUGGAAUCAGCAGAUGCCCAUGUCAAUCCAGGGUUCAUCCUGAAGAGCAGUGCAAGAUGCAACAAGUUCUGAGGCUCAGAGUCUUCGUGACCAUCACUCCCACCACCAUCAUUGCCAUCCAUCAUCCCUGCCUCAUAGACUUGUUGGCAUUCAACAGGGCAAGGAUGGUUCAGAAUUCUUGACCUUUCAGAAUGGCCUGUUGGAGACCACCUCAGAUUGUCAGGCCCCAGAAAAUGAUCUCACUCACAGCUAAAGCUAGAGAGCAGCCUGGGGCUUGGGGGAAGAACCAGUCCUGACUUUCAGCUGUAUUUACCUCCCUCGGGAGCUGCGUUGCCCUGUUGGCUCACUUUGAUUUAUCUCUGCAAACAAGUGGCUGCCAUUUAUGUUUCCGCCACAUCCUGAGCUUGAACAAGAGAUUUUUUAACUCAAAUGUUGAAUUUUACAUUGACUAUUAUUCAAACUCAUCUUAAUCCCUUCAGAAGAAAAUUCUAGCCAAAUUCAACAUGCUCCCUUAUCAAUGGAAUUAUCUUAUCUUUUCCAUUUCAUAUUAUUUUCAAACCUGAAAAAAAAAAAACCUCACACAUUUGUCCAAGAAAAAUGCUGAAAAAAAUAUCCCACUAGGAGCAGGAAAAAAAACACUAUUAAAGGAAAUUCUCCAGAUAAACAUCAAUUGAAGAAGCAUCCUGCCAAGCUAAUCACCAACAAAUUCUAAGCAGAUGGUUUGGAGAUUAGUUAGAGAAAAGAGGAUGUGAUCAUCAUCAGUCAACCAGCUGGUUAAGUUAACCAGCUAUACAAGCACCAAGCAGGACUAUAUCUCACCCACAUAGAUAAGAUGGCAGAUUUUGUCAAAUGUUUUGUGGAAAUCAGAUCAUUCCAAGGAUAAAUCUCUGGGCUUUGAAAUCUAAAAUCCUUGAAAAAC
rnacentral:lncRNA from 1 species